rnacentral:rRNA from 1 species
GACGAACGCUGGCGGCGUGCUUAACACAUGCAAGUCGAACGGAAAGGCCCUGCUUUUGUGGGGUGCUCGAGUGGCGAACGGGGGAGUAACACGUGAGUAACCUGCCCUUGACUUUGGGAUAACUUCAGGAAACUGGGGCUAAUACCGGAUAGGAGCUCCUGCUGCAUGGUGGGGGUUGGAAAGUUUCGGCGGUUGGGGAUGGACUCGCGGCUUAUCAGCUUGUUGGUGGGGUAGGGGCUUACCAAGGCUUUGACGGGUAGCCGGCCUGGGAGGGGGACCGGCCACCAUGCGACUGCGAUACGGCCCAGACUCCUACGGGAGGCAGCGGGGGGGAACAUUGCACAAUGGGCGGGAGCCUGAUGCAGCGACGCCGCGUGCGGGAUGACGGCCUUCGGGUUGUAAACCGCUUUCGACUGUGCCGAAGCGUGAGUGACGGUACUGGGUAAGGAAGCACCGGCUAACUACGUG